GUAGUUAAGCUACUAAGGGUGUAUGGUGGAUGUCUUGGUGCCAUCGACCGAUGAAGGACGCGGCAGGCUGCGAUAAGCUCCGGGAAGUUGCCAAGCAAGCAUUGACCCGGAGGUCUCCGAAUGGGGCAACCCAUCUGCUUUAAUAGGCAGAUACCGGCAUCUGAAUCCAUAGGGUGCCGGGGGGAACGGAGGGAAGUGAAACAUCUCAGUACCUCCAGGAAAGGAAAGAAUCUUCGACUCUCCAAGUAGCGGCGAGCGAAAGGGGAACAGCCCAAACUCAACGUGUGCCUAAAGUCCUUGUACCUUGCACGUUGGGGGUCGCGGGAACUGCACGGAUGGCAACAAGGUGCCGUCCGGGGAGUUACAAAAGCCAAUCCUAGUUGAACAGGCUGGAAAGCCUGACCACAGAAGGUGAUAGUCCUGUAGGUGAAAGGAUAGGCCCUCCCCUAGCAGUCUCCCAAGUAACACGGGUCACGUGAAAGCCUGUGUGAAUUAAGGAGGCCCACCUCCUAAGGCUAAGUAUCGUAUGGCAACCGAUAGUGCACUAGUAGCGCGAGCGAAAGAUGAAAAGAACCCCUGUUAGGGGAGUGAAAUAGAAUCUGAAACCGUACACUUACAAGCGGUAGGAGCACUAUGUCCCGCAAGGGAAAGGUGUGACUGCGUGCCUUUUGCUUAAUGAUCCGGCGAGUUGCUGUAUGCUGCAGGUUAAGUGCCACAAGCACGGAGCCAUAGUGAAAGCGAGCGUUAAAAGCGCAACAAUGUAGCAUGUAGCAGACCCGAAACCAACUGAUCUACCCUUGGCCAGGAUGAAGCGGACGUAAAAGUCCGUGGAGGUCCGAACCCGUUUGCGUUGAAAAGCGAUGGGAUGAGCUGAGGGUAGGAGUAAAAGGCCAAUCAAAGUUGGUGAUAGCUGGUUCUCCCCGAAAUAGCUUUAGGGCUAGCCUUGUGUUUUAAAGGAUGGGGGUAGAGCACUGAAUGGAUUUUAGGGCCCACCAGGCUACUAAGUCCAAUCAAACUCCGAAUACCAUCCCGUACAACACAGGAGUCAGACUGUGGGGGAUAAGCUUCAUAGUCAAGAGGGAAACAGCCCAGACCGCCAGUUAAGGCCCCAAAAUACAGGCUAAGUGAUGAAGGAAGUGGAAGUGCUAAGACAGCUAGGAUGUUGGCUUAGAAGCAGCCAUCAUUUAAAAAGUGCGUAAUAGCUUACUAGCCGAGCAUUUCUGCGCCGAAAAUGAACGGGACUCAAGCCUGUUGCCGAAGCUGCGGAUCCGUCUUCGGAUGGGUGGUAGGGGAGCGUUCUACUGUAGGUUGAAGGGAGACCGUAAGGACUCCUGGACGAAGUAGAAGUGAGAAUGCCGGAACGAGUAGCGAUAAUGUGAGUGAGAAUCUCACUCGCCGUAAGCCUAAGGUUUCCUGGGGAAGGUAAAUCCGCCCAGGGUUAGUCGGAGCCUAAGUUGAGGCCGAAAGGCGUAGACGAUGGACAACAGGUUAAUAAUCCUGUACCACCCUAGUACGUUAGAGCAUGGGGGGACGGAGAUAGGAAGGUUAGCAGGUCUAAUAGACAUGGCCUGUCCAAGCCCAAGAGGUUGCCCCAGGAAAAUCCGGGGCACAAAGGCCUCAAGGGCGAGUGCGUGGGCCUCGAGCCCGUAAGUAACCGUAACUGUCUUCCAAGAAAAUCCUCGUUUGCCAGUACUAGCGGUGUCCGUACUAAAACUGACACAGGUAGGCUCGGUGAGUAUCCUAAGGCGCUCGAGAGAACCCUCGUUAAGGAACUCGGCAAAAUUGCCCCGUAACUUCGGGAAAAGGGGCGGUCGUCUUCGGACGACCCGCAGCGAAGAGGCCCGGGUGACUGUUUACUAAAAACACAAGUCUGUGCGAAGACAGAAAGUCAACGUAUACAGACUGACGCGUGCUCGAUGCCAGAAAGUUAAGGGGAUGGGUCAUCUGCCCGUAAGGGCGGAGAAGCUCUGAACCGAAGCUCUGGUGAAUGGCGGCUCUAACUAUGAGAGUCCUAAGGUAGCGAAGUUCCUUGUCGGGUAAAUUCCGACGCGCAUGAAACGCGUAACUACUUGGGCACUGUCUCAACGAGGGACUCGGCGAAACUGUAGUCGUGGUGAAGAUGCCACGUACCCGCAACAAGACGGAAAGACCCCGUGAACCUUUACUGUAACCUAUCAUUGGGCUUUGCCACAGGAUGUGUAGGAUAGGUGGGAGACUGAGAAGUUCGCUCGCUAGGGCGGAUGGAGUCGCCGUUGAAAUACCACUCUUCCUAUGUUAAGGUCCUAACCGGGUGCCGUUGAUCCGGGCCCGGAACAGUGAUAGGCGGGCAGUUUGACUGGGGCGGUCUCCUCCCAAACGGUAACGGAGGAGCCCCAAGGCUCCCUCAGUGCGGUUGGCAACCGCACGUUGAGCGUAAGGGCAUAAGGGAGCUUAACUGCGAGACCAAUGUGUCGAGCAGGUGUGAAAGCAGGGCCUAGUGAUCCGGUGGUGCUGUGUGGAAAGGCCAUCGCUCAUCAGAUAAAAGGUACUCUGGGGAUAACAGGCUGAUCUCCUCCGAGCGUCCAUAGCGGCGAGGAGGUUUGGCACCUCGAUGUCGGCUCAUCGCAUCCUGGGGCUGGAGAAGGUCCCAAGGGUUCGGGAGUUCACCGAUUAAAGCGGUACGCGAGCUGGGUUUAGACCGUCGUGAGACAGGUCGGUCCCUAUCUGUUGUGGGCGUUGGAUACUUGAGGGGCUCUGUCCCUAGUACGAGAGGACCGGGAUGGACGGACCUAUGGUGUACCAGUUGUCGUGCUAACGGCACCGCUGGGUAGCUAUGUCCGGACGGGAUAAACGCUGAAAGCAUCUAAGCGUGAAACCCUCCCCAAGAUUAGGUAUCCCAUCUCUUUAAGAGAGUAAGGCACCUUGUAGACUACGAGGUUGAUAGGCCAGAGGUGUAAGUGUGGCGACACACUAGCUGACUGGUACUAAUCUGCCGAGGUGCUUAAUUGCCC
rnacentral:rRNA from 1 species